rnacentral:misc_RNA from 1 species
AUGAUUGAGGAAGUACAGAGGCAAAUGGCAGGUCUCAAAUUUCCUGGUGAUGGGAAAACAGGCUACAAUUACCCAUCGGCCAGCCAGCGAACCAGUCCACAGCCGGCAGAGCCACCACAUUCCAAUACGCCCUACCACCAUGCACCUGUAGAACAGCCCCGGCCUGGAUUCUCUCAGCCGUACCCUCCCUACUCGUCACAGCCGCCUUACCAUUCCCAAACCGGUCAAUACCAACAUCCUCCACAGCAGCCCGGUCAUGAACACGGGCAACCUGGUUACCCCGGCUGGCGUGGGCCCUACUACAACACGCAUCAGCCGCCACCAGGUCCGUAUUCUCAGCCGCCAUACACCACGCCAGGUCCUUAUCCCCCUCACCAGGGUCCUUACUACAGGCCGCAAUAGAUGAACUCCUGAGUCCUCGUUUUCUUACUUGUCGUAU